CUGUAGCCAAUUGAGCAAACCCAGUUCCUUUCCUGGUGGGGACAUGAAGUGCAAAGAUUGCAAACAGCCACCUCCUUGGGAGUGUGGGCAGCCUGCUACUUACGUGGUUUCCCUGAGGGACUUUCAAGGCAAUU
ensembl:snoRNA SNORA70 Small nucleolar RNA SNORA70